AUGCACCUGCGGUUCAGCAUAGACAUAAUCAAAGCUCGGCCAGCGGGAUGGAAGGGCAGGCUGAUCCACAUCGCGGGUCGGCGUGUGCUCAUCCGAUGCGUCCUCAGUGCCGUGCCCACCUACACGCUUACUGUACUGUGGGCGCCCAAGAAGCUCCUUAAAGAGAUCGACAAGUGCCGCCACCGAUUCCUUUGGAAACAAGAAGAAGAGGUUACCGGAGCUAGUUGCAAGGUGAAUUGGACAAUGGUCUGCUCGCCAACAGCAAAUGGAGGCCUGGGAAUCCCUGACCUCGAGCGCUUCGGCCGAGCCCUACGACUCCGCUGGCCAUGGCUCUCAUGGCGCCACCCAGAAAGGCCAUGGGUGGGCUCGGAGCUGCCCUGCAAUGUCGAGGACUACUCACUCUUCACGGCGGCUACCUCUGUCAGCAUUGGGGACGAUGCGUCGGCUUCCUUCUGGCACUCCCCAUGGCUCGAGCCGGGCACGCUCGCCCAUCAAUUCCCGUGGUUGGUCCAACAUGCGCGUAGAAAGAAUAGGACGGUGAAGGUUGCCCUCACGGACGACACAUGGAUCAAAGACCUAGCUCAUGGCCGCACCUAA
rnacentral:rRNA from 1 species